AUGAAUCCAAAUGACUUUUUUCCCCGGAAUGGUCCUGAAAUGUUCGUCCUCCAGUCAUUGUUAACAUCCUUUUUUCCUGGUUUUCCUUCUCCCACUAAUUGCUGUCAUUAUCCUUUCUUGUUUAGGUACUGUGGAGCCCCCCCCCCCCUCUCUUUCUCUCUCAGUGUAUGCUCACUCACAGGACGAAAAGAAGUAGGUAGCCAAGGUGUAAGGGACGGGGUGGCUGAAGGGCGGCGUUCCUCAGACGGAGCAGAGCCGAACGCUCUCUCCUCCUCUCCCCUUGUCAUUGGUAUGCAGUGGCUGUUCCCCAGGCGACAGGGCCACUGGGUUCGGGCUGAGCUUACUGCAAGAGGAAAGUCAGCGACACAGAGGAGAGGAGGACAGCAGGUAAGGGUAAUGAGAACAGGCAGAGAAAGGAAAGGGGGAAAGAGAGAAGGAGGGAAGAAGAGGACAAGCGAAAGGAGGACAAGAUGUCCCAAGGGGCUUUGGGGGUGAGGCACCCCCUGACCCUUCGCACUCCGUACACUGUCCAGACACACACACACACACACACACACACACACACACACACACACACACACACACACACACACACACACACACACACACACACACACACACACACACACACACACACACACACACACAAACCUAAACUCUUUUAAAAAAGGGUUCCAAAAGGGUUAUUUGACUGUCCCCAUAGGAGAACCCUUUUUGGUUCCAGGUAGAACCUUUUUAGUUCAAUGUAGAACCCUCUGUGGAAAGGGUUCUACAUGAAACCCAAACGGGUUCUACCUGGAAUCAAAAAUAGUUCAUCAAAGUUUCUCCAAUAGGGACAGCCAAUGAACCCAUUUAGGUUCUAGAUAGCACCUUUUUGUUUCUAAGUAUACAGUGCAUUCGGAAAGUAUUCAGACCUCUUCACUUUUUCCACAUUUUGUUAUGUUACAGCCUUAUUCUAUAAUGGAUUACAUUUUUUUUUUAAUUCCCCUUAUCAAUCUAUACACAAUACCCCAUAAUGACAAAGCAAAACCAGUUUUUUAGACAUUUCUGCAGACAAUGAGUAAAAAAUAUUGCUUUUACAGAAAUAUACAGACCCUUUACUCAGUACUUUGUUGAAGCACCUUUGGCAGCAAUUACAGCAUUGAGUCUUCCUGGGUAUGACGCUACAAGCUUGGCACACAUGUAUUUGGGGUGUUUCUCCCAUUCUUCUCUGCAGAUCCUCUCAAGCUCUGUCAGGUUGGAUGGGGAGCAUCGCUGCACAGCUAUUAUCAGGUCUCUCCAGAAAUGUUUGAUCACUUUCAAGUCUGGACUCUUGUUGGGCCACUCAAGGACAUUCAGAGACUUGUUCCGAAGCCACUCCUGCAUUGUUGGCUGUGUGCUUAGGGUCUUUGUCCUGUUGGAAGGUAAACCUUCACCCCAGUCUGAGGUCCUGAGAGCUCUGAAGCAGGUUUUCAUCAAGGAUCUCUCUGUACUUUGCUCUGUUCAUCUUUCCCCCGAUCCUGAUUAGUCUCCCAGUCCCUGCCACUGAAAAAACAUUGCCACAGAAUGAUGCUGCCACCACCAUGCUUCACCGUAGGAUUGGUGCUAGGUUUCCUCCAGAAGUGACUCUUUGCAUUCAGGCCAAAGAGUUCAAUCUUGGUUUCAUCAGACCAAAGAAUGUUGUUUCUCAUGGUCUGAUAGUCUUUAGGUGCCUUUUGGCAAACUCCAAGUGGACUGUUAUGUGCCUUUUACUGAGGAGUGGCAUCCAUCUAGCUACUUUAACGGCCUGAUUGGUGGAGUGCUGCAGAGAUGGUUUUCCUUCUGGAAGGUUCUCCCAUCUCCACAGAGGAACUCUCACAGAGGAACUCUCAUGGAAAUACUUUCCGAAUGCGCUGUAUAUGUAUUAAAGGUCCAAUGCAGCUGUUUUAUUCUCAAUAUCAAAAAUAAUUUGUAGGUAACAGUUAAGUACCUUACUGUGAUUAUUUUUUAAGUAAAAUGGUCAAGAAGAAAAAAAAUGUGCUUCUUCGCAAAGAGCACUGGGCCUUUAAUGGCUAGAGACUAGACACUUUAUGUCAAGUGCACAUCAUGUAUCCAAAAUGCAAGAACAAAUUUAUUCUCUCUCACAAACACACAAGGGGAGUUUGGGUAAUGUUUGGUACUUUUGGCUUUUUUCUUUGUAAGAGCCUUUAUGACUAUAUAGUGAUAAUGUAAUGCUUCUUGAGAUACAUAUGUUAUAGCUUGAGCUUUACAGCAUAUGAUUUUGUCCAAUAUAUUGUAUUUUAUUAUGUUGUCACGUAAACAUGUUUUUUUUCUUCAAAUACAUGUUUUACAUUUUUGAGAAUAGUGUUAUAAAGAAAGCAAAUGAUUGAAUGCAAACAGUGUAAAAUGUCGUUACAAAAUGUGUGAAAAUAAACAGAUUAAUAUUACACAUUUGUCUGUGUCUUUUGGUAUUUCUAGG
rnacentral:lncRNA from 1 species